AUAAUAAUGAAAUGGAUACACUUUUGACGCAUAGGAUCCGUACUCUCAUUUUGGAGUCAACCACAACAGGGCAGCAUCAAAAUUCAAGAUGUCGAACACGCCACAGUCAAGAGUCAGAGAUUAUCCAACAAAUAGUCGUUUAUUUGUAAUUUGCGGUAAAGGUGCAGAUGAAAAUGCGUUCAAGGAAGCCUUUGGAAAGUAUGGCACUGUUGAAGAUGUCUGGGUUGUCAAAGAUAGGCGCACAAAUGAAGAUAAAGGUGUUGUCUAUGUCAAGAUGGAGAAAACUUCAGAGGCAGCUUUAGCCAUGGAAGAAUUGAAUGGGAGAAAAAUUGAUAAUCAUCAGGGUACACUUAAAGUUGUUGUGGCUAGUAAUAAAGCUGAAGGGUCAAAUAGAGAUGCAAGAGAAGAUGAAAAAACUCUACGACUUUUUGUUCUCAUCCCCAAAACUUUUACAGAAGCCGAUUUACGAAAAGAGUUUGAGCAAUUUGGUGACAUAGAAUUUUGUAAUGUUGUCAUAGAUCGUAAUACAGGAGAAAAUAAGGGCUUUGGUUAUGUAAAAUACAAGAGACCAUAUCAUGCAGCUCUUGCAUUUGAAAGCUGUAAUCCCACUUUUAAACCAAAAUUUGCUGAUCCACCAAAAUCAAAAACAGAAAGAGAAAAUCGAGAGCUUUAUGGUGAUCAGCGUCGUGAUAGAUCAUCAGAUAGAUAUGGAGGUGGUAGUAAUCUUGGAGCUUCUAUGAUGGACAGAUCACCAAGAAAUAGGGGUAUGAAAAGAGGGUUUGAUGAAGAAUUGGGAUAUGGUUUUAUGCAUGAAUCCAAUCAAAGGCAAUCAGGACCUAGAGGAGGAGAUAUUAUGGACAUGUUACAAUCCUACCCAACAGCUAGUCAUCAAACUAGAUUACAGAUUAUUACGGCACCUGGUCUCAGUAACUCAUAUCUGGCAAAACUAACUAACCUCGUACCAGGGUUAGAGUACUGUGACCUCAAUGAAGUUACAGGAGUAGCCCAUGUGCGUUAUUCAAAUUCACAAUGUGCUGCAUAUGCUCGAGAUAAAUUAGAUGGUUUUGAAUAUCCAAUUGGUAGUCGAUUGAUGGUGCGCUAUCCAGAAGAAGGGUCAGAUUAUGGUAGUAGUCGAGGAGGAGGAGGAGGAAUGGCAGGCAUGUUUCAAGGAAAUGACAGAUAUGCCAUUGAUGAUAGGAUGAGUGGAUUAGGAGGUGGAGGUGGUGAUGAUAGUAGAGAAAGGGUACAAUAUUGUAAUAUACCCCUUCCUUUACCUCAACCAUUACGUACCGAAGACACACCAGUAGCACAAAGAUUAUUCAUAGUAUGUCAGCCAGCAGCUGUUACAGAACGAGUUUUACGAGAUGCUUUCUGUCGAUUUGGUAACCUGAUUGAUGUUUAUCUCCUGGCAGGUAGAAAUUAUGGCUAUGCUAAAUAUGCCAAAAAGGAAAAUGCAAUGAGAGCUAUUCAGAAUUUACAUGGUCAAAAUCUGGCUGGACAAAGAGUUAAAGUUUUGGAAGCUGAACCUCCAAAAUCAGGAGAGGGAGAUGAUUUUAUCAAUAAAAAAGCAAGAUAUUAAAAAAAUAUGUAUAAGAAAGGUGCAUAUUUGGUAAGUUGAAUGGAGCUGAUAAAAAAAAGAGUUUAUUUACAAGCAAAUGUGGACUGAAGAGCUGGACAAUUAACUAAAUAUGACAGCAGAAACUUCACCUAAAGUUUUGUUAUUUUGUGUCCUCAAAGUUUAAGCAAAGUUGAGCACAUGUCCAGGACAACAACAAUUUGCAGAAUCAAAAGUACUAUAAACAGUUUUAUGUCACUUUCUCCUUCAAUAAUUACUUGUAGAUGUUUUAAUUUUGCAAGAAUUGUAAUGGGAAACAUUCAAGCUUUCAGUGGUAGUCUGUCUCAAGAUCAACAUCCUCUGAACACACAGAUGAAAUUAAUGUGUGCACAAAUAUUCUGGUUCUCUGAUACGGUCGUAAAUUUUUAUACAAUCUUACUUAUUUUUUUUUAUGGUUUUAAAACAUUCUGAUUGUCAAUAAGUUUUAUUAGGCAUGAGAGAUAAGCUGUGCAAAAAUUAUCGUAAAACAAAUUCAAUUUUACAUUUGUACAAACAACUUGCACACAUACUAUGGUCACAGUUAUAAAAUUUGCACACUAAUCACUAAAAAUAGAUUACAUCUCAACACGUUGGCUAAUUAUUAGUUGACUUCGCAUAUAAUCAGGUGAAACUGAGUGACAUAUGUUGUACAUCUAGUUACAAUAUUAGCUUCAUAUUAAUCCAUUGUAUCUUAACCAAUCAAUUUAUCUGUGGAUUUAACUUGUAUGUUUAUCAUCAAUAUCUUGCAAACAAACUAGACAUCUUAAGCUUUGAACUGGACUGAGAUACUGAUAAUAAUAAUUUAUAGAGAUUAUAAAAUAAAUAUUUUUUACUUUAAAAUACACAAAAUCAAAUUCCCAGAACAUCAGUUGUCACCAAUUUGCACCAAAGUAAAGUUAUUUGUGUAGAUAUUUGGCAUCUAUUGUAUAGAUGGUUAUGAAAACAAUCUGUCGCACCUCCAUUUAUAUCAAGCUGAUAUUGUUGAAGUACUCAUGAUACAACUUCCAAAUUUGGCAGGAAUUUUCAUGAAUGAAAUGAUGUGUAAAAUUUAAACACAAAUUUGUGAUAACUGUAUACUUUCAAAGUGUACUUUAAGUCAUGUUUCAUUAAAAAGUGUACCAUAGGUUCCCGAUCCAAACUGAAUUAUGAAAUUCCUAUUCCUCUUACAAAAUCACUGAUACCUAUUCUUCCAAAAUAUAUUUUUAAAAAAAAACUUUUAUUGAAUAUUAUGCCUAACAUACUGAGAAUUUUUAAAUUAGUAUCACUCUAGAUGAAAUUAUAUCAAAUGCAAAUGGUCCACAUUAAAAUUCAUAUAAAUAGCAAUCUCUAGAAUAGGUAGAAUAUACUUGAAUUAUGUUAAAACAGUAUUUUAAAAGCAUGUACUAAUGUUACCGAUGGACAGACUUUUUGUACAAUCAAAACAGUUUGAACUACGAAGGCAUAAAUAAAAAAAAAACAUACAAUAGAACUAAUGAAAUUUUACAUGGCACGCAAAAUAUUGUGAAAUGAUAAAUAAUGUACAAUAUUUCCAUGUAAUACCUGAAUGCUAUUUGGAUUCAUAUGUGGCCAUUUUAACAGUUUCAAAUGUUCAACUAUAUAUACAAAUGGGCCUUAAAACUCUCUGUUAAUUAAAGAAAAUCAGGGGUGUGUGCAGAAAAAUGAUCGAGGGUGUUUGUGUCCCCCUAAUCAGGUGUGACUGACUGCAGAGCCUGGGGCAGGGGUCUCCUCCCAAAAAAGUUUCCAAGUCCAUUUCUCAGUCAUAAGUGGUCUCUUGUAUAGACUCUCUCUACCUUGAUCGACAUUUGUCUGAGGCAUUUUGGGACUAACAUAAUAUGGUACAAUUUUAUUUCAAUCAUUUGCUUGCACGUAGGGGUCUGUAGCAUCUACAGCAUUUUCAUGCCAAUAAAUGAAUAAAACCUAUUUAUCCAUCUCUUGAUUCAAAUUGCAAUCUUACGACUGAUUAACACCAGGCGCGUCACAUCAAACUUAAGGGUUCAAACUGGUAAUGGAUGCGUGAUCCCCUCUGUAUUAAAUGUGGAUCUUUUAAGCAACCAAUAACAUCAAUUGGCUCAAUCAGAUAGUCUGCAUUAAGCAAACACCAUGUAUUUAUUGUAAUUUCUUUGUAAUAUUGAACUGAAAGUUGGUCUUCUGGAAUGGAAUGAUAAGGUAAAUUUCGAGUAGAUAUUACUAUAUCAGUCAUCAGUAAUGCAAGUAUCCUUGUAACUGACCAUUUGUGACAAUUUGCUUUGUGACCUAUUUUUAUCGACAAAUACAAUAAAGUCACUUAAUACAACACAAUCACAUUAUCGGUGAUUUUUUCGAUGAUUUAAGUUGGCUACAGUUCUCUCUAUUAUUUGGAAUGAAUAUUGUAGAAAUGAGACCUCCUUUUCUAGCUACACCACUUUUUUGUACAAUCGGCUCUGAUGGUCCACUGAAACAUUGCUAUCUGCAUGAACUGGUAUAGGAAUGUUGGUAUCUGGUUGUUUUGGGGUUUUUUGUAAACAAUAUUUUAUUUCAUUUGAAAAUGGAAUGGAGAACAGGCUGGGCCUAUGUUGACUCCUCUCCAGGUUGGUAUCUGUUGUUGUUGUCGUACAUAUAGUAAUAGAAUCUUCACUUUUUGUAGCAGAUGCUUCACUUUUUAUACACCCACAUUGAAAUGUGGUCGUAUAUUGUCUUCGCCCCAGUCCGUGGGUCAGUCCGACUAAAGAUUAAUACACAGAGUUUAAGGUCUUGAGACGAACAAGUAUAUUGAUUUUCAAUGAAUUUUGAUAACUUGAACAGCUAAAUCCAUGAUAUUAAAUGUUUCAUAUACUAAACGUUAGCAUAGGGCAGAACUUUAUAAAAACCAAACGAAUUCUAAUGAUUUUCUGAUAAUUACUUAAUGGGUUGUCACUCUUAAUCAGAUUUUAGUGUAUUAUAAAUGUUUAAUUACCGAAAAAUAAAAAUAUGCGACAACUCUGUGGGUGUAUGUUUUUCGUUGCCUGGCAACCUAUCUUUAGUUUAAUGUAUAUGCCUACUAAAUCUCGGAUAUCUCUAAAAUACUUACCUCUCCACGAUACACAUUUUUCCAGUGGAAGACAAAGAACAGUUCAUGUUAGAUAAAAGGUUAUGAAAACAAAUUUAUCUCCAUUACUCUCAAACACGUGUAAUUGUUUGAACAUUUUCUCCCCCUCAAUUUCUGUAAUAAUAGUGAGAUCUUUCUCACACACUUCUUUUGUGAAUUUGAGCCACACCGAAAUAUCAUUUGUUGGCACAAGCCAUUCAACAUCACAUACAUGUACUUUGUGAAACCAGCCAUUUCCAACUUUUAUUAAUUGAUUAUGAAAGAUUGGAGUAUCAGCCAAAGUCUUCACUUGUGAUAUAUUCUGAGCAAAUAGACAGUUUUGUCUCUUGCUAUUUUUAGUAGAUCUGCUGUUAUUGUUAACUUUACUAUCGAUUUCACAUUCAGGUUUGUGAUUGUCAUUUUGGCACCAUUCUUCCUUUCCUUUUGUUGGUUCUAUUUGACUUUGAUCACUUUCACUAAAUUCUCUCCAAUUUCUUCCAUUUUGAACAUAGAAAUCUUAUAAAAACAUAACACUUAUAUAACACAUAAUAAAAUACUCCUUUCCGCUUCAGAAUUGCACUUAAACAUUUGGUUAGAUGGUGUAGAGAACAAAAAAAUCACGUCUUUUCUGGUAGUGAAAAGAAUUUGCAGCCAUCUUGCAUGAGCCAAAACGAAAUAUUAAAAUAACGCUAAUGUUUCACGAAAACUGGACAGACACACAUUGAUUUUUAAAACCAUUUUCCUGCAAUGUUUAAAUGGCAUACAAUAAAACAAAUACAGCCAUUCCCGAAAGGGACAAAUUAAUUCUAUGUGACAUAAAAAUACAAAGUUAAGACAAAUAUAAGACCACUUGAUUAAUGUAGUGGAUGGACAGAUCAGUCAAAUUUUCACUGGGGUUUGAACAAUUCAGUUUUCAGAUCUUUUAUUUUUCUCAUCAGUAUAUUUUUAAGUCUGUUUUAAAGAAGGCACUCUAACCAAUAUAAUUAUGCAAAAACUAAUUAAAAAUUCUAAAACAAAUGUUAUUUCAAAGCAUUCUAAAAUCUUGGUAAAAAGUAUCUGUCUUAAAUGAUGUACAUGUAAUUUAUUAAAAUAUUUGUAAUUUAUUUUUAUCAAAAAAUAUAUCAAUAAACCUGGUUUUAAGUAUUUUAUAUGUUCAAUAAUAUAUGCUGGUUUUGAAGAUAAGAAAAAUAUUUCAAAACUCUUUUUCCUUUUUCUAAAAAACCAAUACAUUUGUUUGAUACCUACGGAUACACUUUAUAAUAAAACGUGCCUUAAACUCUGAUAAACAAAGAAAUAGAACAGUGUGUACUACAAAUGGACUACAAAUGAUACCUUAUUCCAUGUAAACAAAUUUUACACUGUUUGAUAGAGAUGCAUGGAAAGUGAUGUAAGUUCUCAGUAAACAAAUAUCAUUUCAGAAUAUAACUUGGAAAGUGGGUAAUUGAUGUCUAAACAAAUCAUAUAAGGGUUUUGCCUAAUUGUAUUAAAUGAUUAGAUCACUGUUAGAUAUUCCAACCUCGUGGGUUUUCUCCGGGUCCUCCGGUUUCCUCCCACUGCUAAAGACCCCUACGCGCAAGCGAAUUAUGUAAAUAAAAUUAAACCAUAUGUUAGUCCCGAAAUGACCUAGUUUGUGUCGAGUGGACGUUAAACCCCAUUUCUCUCUCUCUCUCUGUUAGAUAUUAUUUUCCUUUUUCUGAAUUUAAAUUAUACUUGUAUGUGGAUUUAUUUUUGCAAGUGGAAAAUGAUUGUAAUCUAGACUGUCUUCAUGCUUCAAUAAAAUUUAUCAUUAGUGA